CCUACGGGAGGCAGCAGUAGGGAAUCUUUCACAAUGGGCGAAAGCCUGAUGGAGCAACGCCGCGUGCAGGAUGAAGGCCUUCGGGUUGUAAACUGCUUUUAUAAGCGAGAAAUAUGAUGGUAACUUAUGAAUAAUGAUCGGCUAACUACGGGCCAGCAGCCGCGGCCAUACGUAGGAUCCGAGCAUUAUCCGGAGUGACUGGGGGUAAAGAGUUGCGUAGGUGGCAUAAUAAGUAGCUAGUGAAAUCUGGUGGCUCAACCAUUCAGACUAUUAGCUAAACUGUUAAGCUCGAGACCGUUAGGGGUAACUGGAAUUUCUAGUGUAGGAGUGAAAUCCGUAGAUAUUAGAAGGAACACCAAUAGCGUAGGCAGGUUGCUGGGACGGGUCUGACACUAAGGCACGAAAGCGUAGGGAGCAAACGGGAUUAGAUACCCUAGUAGUC
rnacentral:rRNA from 1 species